UCCCACGUUAAACCUCACCACAUUUUGCAAUUAUCAGCCUAUAUACCGCCGUCGUAUGUUUACCCCAUGAGGGUGCAUAAGUAAACACAACAGUAACAUACUAAAACAUCAGGUCAAGGUGUAGCUAACAAAGUGGAAGAGAUGGGCNNNNNNNNCUACAACAGAACACACGACAAAUACAAUGAAAGACUGCAUUACAAGGUGGAUUUAGCAGUAAACUAAGGCAAGAAUGCCAACUUU
rnacentral:rRNA from 1 species